CCCUUUCGCCCACAACAACUAACCUUCACACCUUCAAUUCGAGAAAGUGAGACCCUCACCUUCGCCAACCUUUCGCGCACAACAACCCUCACCUUUGCCAUUCUCACCUUUCAACACUCAUCACAUUCGCCUUCUCACCGUUGCCGUUAACUGUCGCCACCCAGUCACCACUCACCACUCACCACUCACCGCCAGUCACUGCUCACCGUUCACCAUCGACACUCAUCACCUUUGCCAUGGUCACUGCUGCACUGACCAUUGCUCUUCUCCAGUAAUCAUCGCUGCGCCGUUCUCCAGUAAUCGUCGCUGCGCCGCUCUGACCAUCGUCAUCUCCGUGCUUCUCAUCAUCGUCUUCUCUGUGCUCACAUCAUUGAAUAGGAGCAAAAUUUGGUGGCUGCCAUGAGCUUUAGAAAUUUCGAGUGUAUAGGAGCAGGGUACUUAUGUGGAGGGUAUAAAGGAAGAAGUUGUUUUAUCGCCAGGACAUGCUCUUUCUUUUAUUACUGCUGGAGAAGGUAUAACUGAUGAGUGAUGACAGAAUAUUUUCCUCCAUUUGUACUCAUGCUUUAAUUGUUGAUUCAGAAACUUAACAAACAUGUUUGAUGGCAGAGCAUCAUCAUGUUGGGUCAAACAAUUUUAAUCUGUUCAGCAGCGGAAGUCAUACGAUUUUUACACUUGUAAGAAUCUUAGUAUAUUAGUAUUAUAAUCUAGUAACAAAGCACUGGAUUAUACACCUGAUUCAAUUUUACUAAACGGAAAUAUAGCUUAACCACAACCUGAGGCUGGAUAUAUUGCACGAGUGAUUAUUUUAUAUGUACAUGCUGGUUAAACGUGUGAUCAUUGCUAGUUAUUAUAUUUUAUUGCUCUCUUGGACCUUGUCAUACCAACCAGCGAAGCCUCUCUCUUGGUGAGGAUGAUGUCAGUUCCUCAUUCAAUAGCAUGGAUAUGUUGUACCAUCCUUUUAAUAUUUAUCCUGAACUGCAAUAAUUUGAAGUCCUUGUUAUUCUCAGACAUUAAUGUUUGUCUAAAAUAAAGCCUUUUAUGAA